CAAUGCUUUGUAUGAAAUAGCCUUUCAGGUGACCUUAAUUGCUCAAGGGGAUGUUCCUCUGUCUAUUGUAAUGACGGUAUGCACAACUCUUGGGGCAGUACCCCUGACUCCUCCACUAACAAAGAUAUUGGCAUGGACUUACGUCCCUGUAGAUGCUGCCAAACUGUCAAUGAGCACCAUGCAGGUUAAGUCACCUUGAACCUGUUCUGCUUCAAACAACCAAUCUUUGUCCUCGACACAGAGUAAUAUUUGAGGGGUUUCUUGUCUACCAUUUCAGUUUUGUGCUAGUGAUGGGAUGAUGGGAAUUUGUCUAUAUAUAUAUAAAAUUUUCAUUUCCUUUAUAUGGGGGUUCGAUGUUCAGCAAUUUUGUUUUUCUUUCUCAAGUGUGUAUAUAUAUACAUAUGUUUGAAGACUUCUGUUCACUUCUUGGGAAUAAGUUCUGAAGGAGACAGAGUAUUACGAUGUUCUUGGAGUGAGCCCAACGGCUACCGAGGCCGAGAUCAAGAAAUCUUAUUACAUGAAGGUUUUGGGAGAAGCUUACCAAGUCUUAAGCAUACGAUGCUUUUGGAAAAUCAGGGAUCUCAACCGACUCAAUUAUUGAUCCUGCAGCAAUCUUCGCUGUGCUUUUUGGUAGUGAGCUUUUUGAGGAACAUAUUGGCCAGCUAGCCAUGGCAUCAAUGGCUUCACUAGAUAUUUUCUCAGAAGGGGAGCAGUUCGAUCCCAAAACGCUGCAAGAGAAAAUGCCCGUACUGUUUUGUUUAUUUAUCCUCACUAACCCAGUGAUCCAAAUUCUGCCCCUUAUGUAACUGAUUCUGCAAAGGAAAUUAAGAACAAGAUAAACAGGUAUGCAUUUUUUGGUGGACAAGAUUCAAUAGAGAAACAUAGAGAACUUGGAGCAAAUCUCGUGCUUACAGGUGUUGAUAUGCUGAAUACAAUUGGCUACAUAUAUGCCAGAAAGUCAGCAAAAGAGCUAGGGAAGAAAGCAUUAUAUUUGGGAGUCCCAUUUAUUGCAGAGUGGUUUAGAAAUAAAGGGCAUUUCAUUAAAUCCCAAGUAACAGCAGCAAGAGGUGUGGUGAAUUACAGGGUCUUAAUAAGCUAGAGACAGCUGAAAGAUAUGGAAAGGAGCAAGUGCAUGAGUGGCGUCGGAGUUAUGAUAUUCCUCCUCCAAGCGGUGAGAGCUUGGAAAUGUGUUCACAAAGAGCUGUAGCCUACUUUAAAGAACAUAUUGAACCAAAACUACAAUCUGGAAAGAACGUGCUGGUUGCUGCCCAUGGGAAUUCGUUAAGGUCUAUAAUCAUGUAUCUUGAGAGAUUAACAUAUCUUAUGCAAA